AACAGUGUGACAAUAGAGGUUGAAUGGAUUGGCAACAUUAUGCAUUGAGAAGCGAUUGUUCGAUGAGAUUGAUAUUGAAACCAUCAUCGAUGACUUUGCAUCAAUGAAUGUUAGAAGAAAAUUUUAAGGUAAUUUAAUAUGUGUAUACAAAUUAUUUUAUAUGAAUAUUGCUUUUGCAUUCACUUAACUGCUUAUUAGUAACAUGUUUUAUAUGUGUGUAUAUAGUACUAGUAGUAUUAUCAAGUUCAUAUAAUAGGGUCCAAAAUUUUAGGUUUGUUCCAGGUCCAAAAAUACUUAGGACCGGCUCUGACACAGCUAUGCCACAAGACGGAAGGAAAUGAAGGAGAUGAUGCUAUAUACAGUUGUGAAGCUUCUCAGAAAAUACUGUUCAUGAACCACCGUGGCCGGCAACCUCUAGCAUGGUCUCCUAAUGCCAUUGUGCCGGUCCCUCUACAAAUCCAACAAAAUCGGCGAGUACAGUGGGAGCUCGAAGCUUGAACAGUAUAGACAUGUAGAAACUGUGCAAUAGAUGUUCUGUUUCAGUUCCCAGUGCCUCCUAUUUCUAUUUUUGUAUCCAUAACGUACUUCCCAC
rnacentral:lncRNA from 1 species